GAUGAACGCUGGCGGCGUGCCUAAUACAUGCAAGUCGAGCGAACGGACGAGAAGCUUGCUUCUCUGAUGUUAGCGGCGGACGGGUGAGUAACACGUGGAUAACCUACCUAUAAGACUGGGAUAACUUCGGGAAACCGGAGCUAAUACCGCAUAACAAUAAAAGCCGCAUGGCUUUUAUUUGAAAGAUGGCUUUGGCUAUCACUCUGGGAUGGACCUGCGGUGCAUUAGCUAGUUGGUAGGGUAACGGCUUACCAAGGCGAUGAUGCAUAGCCGAGUUGAGAGACUGAUCGGCCACAAUGGAACUGAGACACGGUCCGU
rnacentral:rRNA from 1 species